CGGGGAAUAUUGCACAAUGGGCGAAGGCCUGAUGCAGCAACGCCGCGUGAGUGAUGACGGUCUUCGGAUUGUAAAGCUCUGUCUUUGGGGACGAUAAUGACGGUACCCAAGGAGGAAGCCACGGCUAACUACGUGCCAGCAGCCGCGGUAAUACGUAGGUGGCAAGCGUUGUCCGGAUUUACUGGGCGUAAAGGGUGCGUAGGCGGACCUUUAAGUGAGAUGUGAAAUCCCUGAGCUUAACUUGGGGGCUGCAUUUCAAACUGGAGGUCUAGAGUGCAGGAGAGGAGAGUGGAAUUCCUAGUGUAGCGGUGAAAUGCGUAGAGAUUAGGAAGAACACCAGUGGCGAAGGCGACUCUCUGGACUGUAACUGACGCUGAGGCACGAAAGCGUGGGGAGCAAACAG
rnacentral:rRNA from 1 species